AGCCAUCCUUCCAGACCCAAAAGCAAGCACAUGGUAGGCAAGCUACAGAGCAGCCAAUAACCCGCGCUAAUUAGACAGAAAUAAACCAACAACGACACCAAAAAAAAUCAAAGAAGCCACGUAAGCCACGCCCAGAAGUGGACCAUCGACACCUAAAAUGAGAAACGAACGAAGAACUGUUCUAAUUCACAUGAAGUGCAAUAUGGAUGAACAAUGAUAAUAGCACUGGCAGAAUGACAUAAUGAAUACGACGAAAACCAAAAGGCAAUGAAAAGAGAGAACCUGGGAAAGAAGAACAUCUUCUAAGGAAUGAAAAGCUCCAGCAAACCAACCGAAAAAAGAUUCUGUAGAGAUAGUGAUAACACAACACAAACCUACAUUAAAAGAAAAGAAACUAAGAAAUCAGGAAGAUAAACUCAAUGAAAUCAACAGAAAAAAAAUAAAAAACAAAAGCAAGUUAAUCAAAAUAAAGGAAGAGGAGCUCUAGAAAAAUGAGCGCCAAUGGUAGAAAACCAUAUGAACAGAACAGAGAGCUAAAAAAACCCGAGAGAGAGGCAUGAAAGAAAACCAAGACAAAAUGAAAAUGAAUCUAUCUACUCCAACCCACAAAAAUAUGUGAAAGCAUGGGAAACCCAAG
rnacentral:lncRNA from 1 species